UACGUAGGGUGCGAGCGUUAAUCGGAAUUACUGGGCGUAAAGCGUGCGCAGGCGGUGAUGUAAGACAGAUGUGAAAUCCCCGGGCUCAACCUGGGAACUGCAUUUGUGACUGCAUCGCUGGAGUACGGCAGAGGGGGAUGGAAUUCUGCGUGUAGCAGUGAAAUGCGUAGAUAUGCGGAGGAACACCGAUGGCGAAGGCAAUCCCCUGGGCCUGUACUGACGCUCAUGCACGAAAGCGUGGGGAGCAAACAGG
rnacentral:rRNA from 1 species